ensembl:lncRNA
CCUAAGCAUGUCUUUGGGCUGGAUGUGCCAGAAGAGCAAGUCGGUCUAUGGCAGCACCUUAUAGAUGUGCAGGAAUCUGUUCCCGUUCUCGGGUGAAACUAUGCCCUCCAGCCCGCAGCCGCCGCAAAGGAGAGGGUACCAUGUGGUCCCCAGCACCUCCCAGCCAAGCCCUGAUUUUAAGCAGAUGGGCUAGAGCAAGCAGGAGAACAACCGCAGUACCCUAGGGCAGAAGGUUGCCCUGUCAAAAUGCAGAGCUGGACAGGAUCCGGUGUCAGCAAGGGCCUAAGACCUCCUUGGGAGCAAAGCUCCCAGGGCAUCGGGCUCUUGGAUCCGAGGCUGGAGCACAGCUGCCUGUCCUGCUUGUUCCAGUGCUCACAAAGGUGCUCGCUGAAGAGUCUUCUGCCUCCUUCCGACUUCCAGGGAGUCCUGCAGAGCGCCUCCUUUCUCGAGAAAGGCUUUCUGCGCCCACGUUCUCUGGGGCCAGCUGGAAGGGAGGAAAAGAACGGAAGGCCAGGGCAAACAAGCCACCUGCCAGGUGAGCCUCUUGGAGCACAGCGUGAGGGUGGCCUGGUGCUUUUGGAAUGCUAGGAGGGACGCGGACGCUGUGUCGGUAUGAACUCUGACGGGUUGUCAACUCGUGUCACAAUGACUGAUGGUGAUGCAAGAAGAAUUGCAGCAGUUGAGGGCAUUGUUCUGCGUCCCUAUAGAUUCCAAGGGACCUCAUUUGGGUGCACUGUAACUGAGAGCACUCUUCAGAGGAUCGGGACAGUCAGAACAUCCUCCCCCACCAGCACAGAGUAGUGUUUGUUUUCUCCGGGACCGCUUUUCUCCCCAGCACACUUCCUGCUUCUCCGACCCUGGAUGCCCCACUAAUAGUGCAGUUUCCCCCUCUAAACAGAGUCGUUCUGGACACCUCAGUGCCUUUAGCGGGAGGCGGCUAACGGUCUCCGCAGGCUCCGGUUGUCACAAAUGGCAGGGGUUUUCUCCUUGUGCCAUCCAGAGAGGGUUGCCCAGCCCUGGGCAUCCCCAGCUUUCCUUAGGGCCUCUUGGGCCACAUGUGAGUGGRCCACAGAGCUCGAGGUGUCCUUCCCUCACUGUUGGCACGAACGCAAGGACUCAGAUACACCAAAUGCUGCAGCAGAGCUGCCCUGUGCUGCAGAGGCUGGCACCGAGCUGCUUGUGAGCACCAGGUGGAGAACAGUCUCAUCCGGGACUCCAAUAACCUCCCCCGGCUUGUGUAUUUUUAGCCUGCUGCCAACAAUUCAGGAGAGCUUCUCUAAGGCAGAAGAGGACGGCAAGCAGGAAGAAGCUCCUCGAGCAAGACCUCAAACUGCAGUUCCUGUUUGCAGACAUCAGAACAGGGCAGAACAGGCUUGGCGGCAUCAGGAAACACUGCCGGAGGUUCGGCCAGCYUCACCAGUGCCCCGCCUGGGAAAGAGGAGAGCACUGCGGCCGUCCUGCACAGAGCAGAGCAGAAGAAGAGCAMGCCAGAGAGGCUGCCGAGGCUGCACAGGAGAGCAAGUGUGCACCAGUGCUGGCCCCGGCCUGGAAAACUGGAGUGGCAGCACCUGUCCGAGGUGUGAGGAAGCCCAGUGCCUGAGCUCUGGGGCUGGGUACRGCGUUGCCUGAUUUCUCUUGACAUGGGAAUGACCUGGGCUAGCCCUUGGUGCCAGGGAGCAAGAUAUAUCUCUGUGUCAUGCCGCAUGGGGAGGGGGCACAGUCUUGGAGAACUUCCUGUGGGGAUGCGGAUGCCCCCAGCCCAAGAAGGGGGGGUGAGUUGAUGGCCUCAUACAGCUCCUGGGGUGGGCAGGGGCUCCGCGUUCCUCCCCUACGCGACUGGUGUCCUACCCCCUCAUCAACCCCGGGGGGGGCCUAGUCUCCCUGGCCCUCCCCAUCUUCGCUGGAGAUGAGGCUGUUUCCGGGUGGUGAAAGCGGAGGACAGCCCCCAUGAGGGGAUGAAAUGAUGGACGAAAUGAUCUAACUCCCCUUGGAGCUGCUGCUCACAACCAGUCUUAACCCUUGGCCCUUCUCCCACCAUGUUCUUCCAGCACUCUUUGGGGCAGGCUGAGCCAUAAAUGUACUAAAAAUCCCAGGAAGUCCCCAGACAUGAGGUUUUCUCCCCAAACCAGGCAGAGGCAGAGAGACUAGAGGAGGCAAGAGGCCUCAGAAGUAACACAAAUCCCAUCAGAUCACACGGAGAGAGGGCAGAAAAGGGUGGGUGGGCGGUGGGGGUGAAAAGUGCCCCGCAUGCACUCUGAGGGGUGAAAACCAGGGGGCCUUUGGAUGAAAACCAAGGAUUAAAGAUAAACUUCACUGCCAACAAAACCCCUGGAGACCCAAGCUUCAAGGACAAGACCCCAAACCCUCCGAGCCCCUCAAGGUGAAGGGGAUGGAGGCAGAGCAAGGUCGGGGGCACCCCCAGGCAUCAUCCCCCCCUCCCUGGGGCACCUCACCGGGAGACACCAAGAUGAUGGGAGCCAAUGGCUCUGGCCUCCUAACAACCCUGACAGAGGUGCAAGAGGCCCCACAGAGCUGCUGUGAAGGUGCUGGAGGUGUGCAAAGCCAGCCCCAAAGCCCCACUCCUGGGCCAGAGACACAGAGGAAGGCCCAGCCCUGCCAAGAGCCUCAG